AUGAAAUAUUCAAAUAAUAUAAUUGUUAAAAACAGUCUUAAAAUCUGGACCCAAUUUUUGAGACAUUUUGCUCUUCAUAAUAGCCCCCUGUUAUCCCCAAUACAUUCUAACCCAUUGUUUUACCUCUCCAUCUUAGACCGUCCAUACACCUCUUGGAGAGACCUUGGGUUGGUUUCUAUUGCUGACCUUUACAUCGAUGGAGUUUUAGCCUCUUUUGAACAGUUGACUUCUCAGUUUAAUAUUUCCAAACAACAUUUUUUCAGAUAUUUACAAAUUCGAGAUUUUGUACGCAAAAAAUUUGUCAACUUUCCAAAUGCUCCUCUCCCCUCAGAUUUAGACACCAUUCUGGGUGUGGUUCCUUGUACUAAAGGGUCAAUUUGUAAAUUAGUGCAUACAAUCAUUCAUUUGCAGUCUUCCUCUGAUAAUUUACGCCUUGUCUGGUCCCAAGACAUCGGUAUUGAGAUUAGCGAGGAGACAUGGGGGGCAGUCCUGAACAGGGUUUACUCCUCAUCCCUCUGCGCACGUCACAGGCUCAUACAGUGCAAGGUGGUUCAUAGAGCCCACUGGUCGAAGACCAGGUUAGCACGCAUUAACCCUUCUAUUGACUCGGAGUGUGACAGGUGUCAUUCUGGUUCAGCCACUUUAAUUCACAUGUUCUGGUCCUGCCCUGCCCUGUCUUCCUUUUGGAGACACAUUUUUGUCUCAUUGUCAGCCAUUACCUCGGCAGAUAUCCCACUUUGUCCAGUCACAGCUUUAUUUGGGGUUCUUCUGCCUGGCCAUUCUUUUCCUUGUCACUUUUCAGAUGUCGUAGCCUUUCUGACUCUUUUAGCUAGGCAUUCAAUUCUAUUGAAUUGGAAAAGCCCUCACCCUCCAUCUUACACUUGCUGGAUAAGAGAUGUUCUUUAUUUUAUGAAACUGGAGAAAAUUAGGUACUCUCUUCACCGACCUAGCACCAUUUUCAUCAAGCUUUGGCAACCCCUUUGUGAACAUAUCAAAACUCUCCAGCUUGAACCUGCUCUUUGUGUGUGA
rnacentral:lncRNA from 1 species